UCUGUCCAUUGCUCACAUACCUUAAUGAUGUUCUUAAAACACACAGGUUGAAAAUCUCAGAAAUCCGAAGACAUUACAACUGAGCUUGGGAUCUAGAGGCCUGGUUCAACCCAUUCUUGAAGAUUCUAGGCCUGAUUAAGGAGGAGAAGAGGGAAUUCUCCAAGAAAGCAAUAGGACAUUUGUAUCUGCUGAUGGAACUUAUUUGUUUUUCUCUUUUCCAGACAGGAAGGAGCCAUUGGUUCAAUUCCUUGAAUACUUUGCUUGGUGGCUUAGAAACAACUAUAGCUUUAACCUGUUGGAAGUGGGUAUCGUACCCUGAAUGCUCAGCUUUCUACAUCUCUAAUUCCAUCCAGGUGCCUAUUGUUGGACCAGACCCAAGGAAUUCAUGAAAAGCAAGAAGAAAACAAGAAAUCUGAACUUCUUCCUUCCUUCCUUCUCUCCUUUCUUCCUUCCAUUUCUUCCUUCCAUUUCUUCCUUUCUUCCUUCCUUCCUUCCUUCCUUCCUUCCUUCCUUCCUUCCUUCCUUCCUUCCUUCCUUCCUUCCUUCCUUUCUUUCUUUCUUUCUUUCUUUCUUUCUUUCUUUCUUUCUUUCUUUCUUUCUUUCUUUCUUUUUUCUUCCUUCCUUCCCUCUCGUUUCCUUCCUUUUCCCAAGAUCACUGAAAUAGAUGAUUGAGAUAGACUUUCUUAAAUUGCAGAUGAGAGCAAAUUGUUAUUGUUAUUUGUCCUUCAUUCCCGAAGAGGAGCAUGACAUCAGGGAGGUGACACCAUGACAUACAAGUGAAUUAGAUUUAAGUGAAGGAGAGCUGUGCAAGGUCACCUCUCUCACUUUACUCUCCAGAGGGGACCAUCUGGAUCCAAUGGCAAGAUAUACCUCAGGACAACUGAAGAUGGCUCAGGGUGCAAUGGGAGACCUUGUACUUUUUAAGCUAAGGUCUUCACCAUGUCUCAGUUUGACUGAGGCUACUCCCAUUCAGUGAUUAAGGCUAGCUAGCAAUUGAGGCAAAGAAUCUCCUCUUUCACUUAGUCCAGAAAAUAAAUACAUACAUACAUACAUAGAUGGGGGAGAUCCUCAGGGUUUCAAAAGAGAAAUGAGUGCUAUUUACAUUCAAUCUGAGUCAAUCAGGACCCCACAGUGAGUAAGUAACAAAGUGAGGAUUCAAAUUCAGGUCCUCAGAUUUUAUAUUUCCAGAACUCUUUCUUUUAUGUUGUAUUCUUCUCUGGAAAAGAUUUUAGUGAUCAUCUAGCCAAUCCCCUCAUUUUGCAGUAGUCUAAUUAAAACUAUGCUGAGCUAAUUAAUAGCACGUGACUAGUGUUAUUCUUUACUGUGUAUAAUCAUUUCCCUGAAUUCUCUCCCAAGUUAGUAAACAAAGGCUCCCACCUAAGAAGAAGAGAAAAGGGACAACGCUGGGACCCAGGACACAAAUUUUACUGCUGAGUGAUGGUGGUGGUGGUUUAUAGAGAAGCCAAACAUCAGGGUGAACUGAGAAAUGCAUGAUAAAUUGGAAAUACGUUUAGAAGAAUUGCACAUGUUUAACCUAUAUUGGAUUACUUGCUGUCUUGGAGAAGGGGAUGGAGGGAGAGAAAGAAGAAAGACUUGGAACACAGGGUUUUUCAAGGACUUUUGAAAUAUGAUGAUCAAUUCUGAUGGACAAGGCCAUCUUCAGCAAUGAGAUGAACCAAAUCAGUUCCAAUGGAGCAGUAAUGAACUGAAACAGCUACACCCAGCGAAAGAACUCUGGGAGAUGACUAAGAACCAUUACAUUGAAUUCCCAAUCUCUAUAUUUUGCCCACCUACUUUUUUGAUUUCUUUCACAGGCUAAUUGUACAAUAUUUCAGAAUCCAAUUCUUUUUGUACAGCAAAAUAACAGUUUGGACAUGUAUACUUAUUUUGUAUUUAAUUUAUACUUUAACAUAUUUAAUGUGUAUUGGUCAUCCUGCCAUCUAGGGGAGGGAGUGGGGGGAAGGAGGGGAAAAAUUGAAAAAAAAAAGGUUUGGCAAUUGUCAAUGCUGUAAAAUUACCCAUGCAUAUAACUUGUAAAUAAAAAGCUACUAAAAAAAAAAAAAA